rnacentral:rRNA from 1 species
UGCCAGCAGCCGCGGUAAUACAGAGGGUGCAAGCGUUAAUCGGAAUGACUGGGCGUAAAGGGUGCGUAGGUGGAUAGAUAAGUCAGGUGUGAAAUCCCAGAGCUUAACUUUGGAAUUGCGCUUGAAACUGUUUAACUAGAGUACUGUAGAGGGUAGUGGAAUUUCCGGUGUAGCGGUGAAAUGCGUAGAUAUCGGAAGGAACACCAGUGGCGAAGGCGGCUACCUGGACAGAGACUGACACUGAGGCACGAAAGCGUGGGUAGCGAACAGGAUUAGAUA